rnacentral:ncRNA from 1 species
CUCCCCCGGAGAGUUCGGGCGGCUGUCUAUGUACAGUCAGGACCCGGCACCGAAGAGGCAAGCCCGGAAUGCUUAAGUCGAAGCAUUCUGUGUGAAACUUUCAGGUAAAAGGACGGCGGGAG